rnacentral:tRNA from 1 species
GGAUGUAGCGCAGUUUGGUAGCGCGUUUGACUGGGGGUCAAAAGGUCGCUGGUUCGAAUCCAGUCAUCC